GAGAAUGAGACUUGAACCCGCAACCUGUGCAAAUUUUCUAUUCCUCCUAACCACUACACACAACUAUUGUUUCCCAAGAUAUCAACACAUCUUUUAUUUAUUCAUAUUUACACAGUUGUAUUUUAAGUCCCCAAACCUCAACAUUUUUUACUCCCAAACCCUUCCCAUUCAUAUCUCGUUCCUCCCGAGAGAUCUUCGGCGAUCUCCGCCGGAGAGAUCUUCGGCGAUCACCGCGCGGAAUCGGAGAGGACGGGAGCCACGGCGGAGCUUCAACGGCGGGUGCGAGCAGCGAUCGAUGCAGGCGCACCUGCUCCCCCACCCCGCAUCCAUCUCCUCGCCACUCCCUG
rnacentral:lncRNA from 1 species